CAGGGUUUCCCAGUUGCCUUGGGGCUCCCCUUGCAAUGCCGGGGGCACCCCAAAGCCCCCCCAGUUCUCACCUCCCGGUUCAGCUCGCGCUCCUGCAGGGUCAGGAUGUGGCUGAGAGCGCUGAGCUGCGCACGGAGCAGCAAUGGGGUCUGCGGGGGGGAGACGGGGGGACACCGUGGGGACACUGUGACCUCCUGGGGACAGCACGGGCACAGCACGGGGACAGGGCUGCCCCAUCACCAAGGGGACGCCGCCUCACCUCCUCUGAGGGCUUCUCUCCAUCAGGCCCCGCCCCCUUGGCUUGGCCCCGCCUCCUUUCAGCUUCAAGCUCCUCCCCCAACCGUAGGCUCCGCCUCCUCUCCACCUCAAGCUCCACCUCCAGGCUGUGGCUCCGCCUCUUCUCUGCCUCAAGCUCUGCCUCCAGGCUGUGGCUCCGCCUCCUCUCUGCCUCAAGCUCCACCCCCAGCAUGUGGCUCCGCCUCCUCUCUGCCUCAAGCUCCGCGCCCAGAGCUUGGCUCCGCCUCCUCUCCACCUCCAGCAUCCUGCUGAAGGGGGGGUGGAGGGGCAGCAGGGCUUACUGGGAGCACUGGGGGGAGCCGGGAGGCAAAUGGGGGGCAGCGUGUGAUGAUGGGGGACCCUUACCUGGUGCUGGGGGCAGGGGGACGGAGCGUGAAGUGUGAUGGGGGGAUGAGGCCCUGCAGACCUGCGGGGGACACGGGGGUGACACCAAUGUGACAGGGGGUGACACCUCAGUGACAGAGGGAGCAGUGCUCACCAGUACCCGGUGGCUCCGGGGGACCCUCAGCCAUUGGUGGCACCUGCUGGGCUGGUGGGAGGGGGGGGGGGGAUUCCAGUGAGCCCCUCCCACGCUCAGCACUUCCAGUUCCCAUUAAAGCAGCUCCCAGUAUCCCCAGUGCCUCCCAGUACCCCCCAGUCCCCACCCUCACUGACUCCCAGCUCAGCCCACGCCCACUCCCAGUCCCUCCCAGUUCAUGCUGCUGUCUCCCAGUCCCCCCCACGUGCGCUCCCA
ensembl:lncRNA